rnacentral:misc_RNA from 1 species
AAAAAAAUUAAGGUUCAUGACUCAGUUUGCUUCUUUCAAGAAUGCCAAAAAAAUGGAAGGCCUCAGGUAGAUAACCUCAUGAUACUUUUGCUGAAGAAGAAAAUACUUGUGCAAUAAUUAAUGUUUCAUGGGCAAGAAUUAAUUAAUUAAUUAAGUAAGAUGAAAACAUAAAUACAUAUGAUCUUGGUAGGUAAUUUUUUUUUAAUUUAAAUUUCAUUAAAAUUGGAGAAAAUUACAUAAAAUGCAAUAAAUAAAUAUUAAGA